rnacentral:tRNA from 1 species
GGGUUGGUAGCUCAAUGGUAGAGCAAUGGCCUUUUAAGCCAGUGGUUGCGGGUUCGAGUCCCGCCCGACUCA